rnacentral:rRNA from 1 species
GUCGAACGCUGGCGGCGGGCCUAACACAUGCAAGUCGAACGAGUUGCGAACGGGUGAGUAACGUGUGGUAACCUGCCUCAAGGGGGGGGAUAAAUAUUGGAAACGAUAGCUAAAACCCAAUACUGUGACAUGGACCUGCGUGGUAUUAGCUAGUUGGUGAGGUACCGGCUCACCAAGGCGACGAUCCCUAGCUGGGCGGAGAGGAUGAGCAGCCACACUGGAACUGAGACACGGUCCAGACUCCUACGGGAGGCAGCAGUGGGGAAUAUUGCACAAUGGGCGCAAGCCUGAUGCAGCCAUGCCGCGUGUAUGAAGAAGGCCUUCGGGUUGUAAAGUACUUUCAGCGGGGAGGCGUUACCCGCAGAAGAAGCACCGGCUAACUCCGUGCCAGCAGCCGCGGUAAUAC